AUUCUUUCUGCAAUAGCUAUCAGCCAACCUGCAGUCUAUGUCAUGGGUGGGGUUCAAGGUACAAGGUUCUCCAGCUCCACUUUGGGAAAUUCAUUGAUCCUGCCUGGGGACAGAACAAGACUUGAGUUGCUCAUGAGUAGAAACAUGGGUUUCUUGCUCAGAAGAGGGAAUGUCACAGCACUCAAAAGAUCCCAGGCUGCCACUUCCAGUUUAGGAAACCUCCAGUCACAAGAUGGUAACUGAGGCGAAGGGGACCAAUACCUAACAAGCAAGACUGACCCCUAAAUUGCCAAUGGAGCACCUAGCCUAAAGACUGAAGCCAAAUCAGCUAAAUUUUCAGAAUCAAAGGUAAAAAAUAAUCUACGCUUUGUAUGAGAAAAAGAAAAAAUAUCUUAGAGGAGAAAUGAGAGUGGAAGCACUGAAAAUGAUGAGAAGGGCAUAGUUGCAAAUCCAGGUAUAUGCAAAGUGUCAAGAAAGUCAUUGGCUAAACAUUUCCAUCCAGUCUGCAAAAACAAUGGACACAACUGCUGAGCAUGGAAGGUCCCUUCCAAAGCUGCAAUACCCACUGGAUGGAGCACCAGGCAGCUACCAAAACAUUUUGUUGUGGUAAAGGAGAAAGUCUUGUGGAAAAGCCAAAACAUCAAAGGCCCUUGAUUGCUAAGUCACUGAAUAGAUGAUACCUACUGUCAAGGAGAUCUUCCAUUGCCAUUGCAGGCAUAAGAAAAUAAACUCUUUGAAAAACCACUAAAAUCUAAGAGCUGUUUGUUACCAGUGCAUAAUCUAGCCCUACUCUUACUAAUAGAUAACGAAAAGAAGAUAAAUAGAAAGUGGCGAGAGAUAACAGUGAAGUUGAAGAAAGGAGAUUCUUACUUUUUUAAUGUUUCAUAUUUCUAUGGUGAGUGAGACUGAAGCCUGUUUGUUAGAAAAAUGGAAAGAGGCAGUACAGAGGAAGAAUGUGAAGAUGCUAAAGCAGUAUUCUAAAGAAAACAGAAAAUGUGGCAAUAUACAAGCCAUGAGGUGAGCCUUUGCAUUUCUUCUAAGAAAAAUCCAGACCCAGGAGGAGUUGCAGAGAAAAGCUGAAGAUGACCACCCUCAUCAGCCCAUGCACUUGACUUCUGAAGCAAGCAAGCAAAGAGGCUGGAAUUUUAAAUCCUUGGCAUGGAACAAUUUCAAGGGAUGACGAACGUCUGCGACUGAAAUAACCAUGCAUGCAAUGAUGGCCUUUGCAUAUCAGCCUCCUGGCAGCUGUCCAUGCAGGAUGACUGGCAAGGACUGGUACUCCCUGCAUUCCACUCUUUUGGUUUAAAUAAUAUAGGCAUUUCUUAAAGAGAAUCAUCAUUAUUUAAGAAGUAAAUUUCUAUCCAGAAAGGGUUAAAUUUGUUCUUCUUUUUUUUUUUCAGUUCUAACUCCCUACCCCCACUGUUUGCCUAUGUCCUUUAACUGAAUUAGUUAUUCCAUUGCCAGGCCAGUGCUGGUCCCCUGCAGAACAACACAUGCUGUGCUCUCUCUGCAGUGCACUCAUGAUGAACUUUGGGCCACACAUCUGCUGCAGAGAAGGAACUCACAUUCCCAAAUGGCUGACAUAAGCUGAGGAUUCGAAGUUCAUAUGUUUGUGGCAUAUUUUUAUUAGAUAGGCUGCUAGAGAAUCAGAGAAGUACAUUUAGUUAUUAUUUCUUUAUCUCAUUACAGCACAUUCCAAACUAUUUUUCUUUUUAUCCACUUGAUAUUAUUCUAAGAUUCUGUUUCUACAAGUUAAUAUCUAGGCUAAAACCAGGGUUCACUACCCUUUACCCCUAAAUCAUUGCUAUGUCUAGCUUAAGGGUGUGUCCUCAUUACUUCCCUCAUUGCUGGGACAAAAUACCCAACAUCUACAACUGAAAGUAGAGGUUUCUUUUGCUGCAUGUUUCAGUCCAUAGUUGGCUGGCUCCAAAGCAGGACAGCAUGGCAGAGGGGUAUGGUGUAGGAAAAUCUGCUCACAGCAUGGUGGACAGGAAGCAGAAGGUGUCAAGGCAGGAGCUUCUGGUCACACCCACAGUGAUCUUCCUCUUCUGACCAGACCCUCCCUCCUAACAGCAAGUCAGUUAUAAGCCCCCAUAAUCCAAUCUUGCAAAACCUGUCUGUGGGUACAGGAGGGACUUGAAGGAUGUCUAGAUAUAAGUAUAAUGGAAUGUUUUGUACAGUUUUACCUCUUCAAGCCUCUUUGAUUUUCUGCAGAAACAGGCAAAAAUUUUCUGUAGAGUCUGAUAGAAAAAGUUAGGUUUUGUAGGCCAAGUGCUCUGUUGCAACUACUCAGUCUUUUACAGCACAAAAGCACCCAGAGAUAGAACCUAAAUGGAAAACAUUGUUGUGUUCCAAUAAAACUUUAUUUGCAAAAACAGCCAGUGGGUUAGAUUCAGCUCAUGGGUUAUUCUUGGCUAACUGCAGAUUACAGUACAGACUAGCAAGAAGGCUUCAGGUGAAGUGACAGACAAAAAAGCAGCAUCUUUUCAUGUAUUUAUUUGUUAGAAGGAAAAAAAUAACUAAAAUAUUAGAUUGAAGAAUGCAAGCAUGUGGCAUUUUCUCCUCCUAAAAUGUUGCACUAUAAAUUUUUGGAUUCUUCUCCAGUUCACAAAAUAAUUUAAUUCAGAGAAGAGAGGGUUAAAUAGCUAAAAACCGCAGGACAAAAGUAUCACUUAUCUGCAAACACAGCCUCUUCUUUAGAAACUGAUUUACCCAGACAUUGAAUUGAUUAUAAGAUACGUAAAGUAAAAACAAAUUUGCUGACCUUCAUUUCAGAGAUCAAAGGUUAAAUUCAUACCCUGUAGGAUAGUUCUGUUAAAUUACUCCCAAGCUGCCUGGUGACAUAGUUUUUAAAAAUAUUUCUCUCCAACUUUAUCAAGUGUUCUUUGUGUGCUGAAAACAUGAUUUGAAAUCCCAGCUGGAGUUGGGACCUCAUGAGUCCGAGAUAGCUGAAAUUCUUCUCCAGCUAUAUCCAAAGGCAAAUGGUUAGUUGGAAUAGACAUUAAUUGCAGGGGUUAAUAUCUCUGAGUCUAGUUAUUUAUUGAAGAUUGAAAUUAACAUUUUAUGCUGGAUAACCAAGAGUUGCAUGAACCGCACAUAGAUAAAGAGCUAAAAUUGUCUAUUUUGAUGUCCUUGACAUUGGGCUGAAUAAAUAUGUCUUAGAUAGCAAUGUCUGGCAAUGAGUUAGUGUUCCCAAUUUAUUUGCUUCUAAGCAGUGUGUCAGAGCAGAACCCAGAGAGUUCAAAAGUUAGGCAAAUUGCACACAAAUUAGUUCAACACAAUAACAUUUUUUUAAAAAGUAAAAUUUCUAUUUAACUAUAAACUUACACAAACCCCCAAAGCAGUGGUCCACAAAAUUUAUUUUAUGACAAAGUUUCACCAGUUCUUAGUGAGAUGAAAGAAUGUUAAGACAUUGGUGUAUUUUAUGUAGCUAAGUCCAUUUCAUUUAAAGGACUGCACUUUAACCUGAAAUAGAACCUCUCUAUUUUUAUGUUAAAUAACUAAACGACAUUUGUUUUAUUUAAUAUUUAGCUAGUAAAAAAUAUAUUUGCAAUGGUAUAUUGGUCCCUAUUUGGAUUUUUUGUUGUUGUUGUUGAUAUUGUCUGUUUUUGUUUUGGUUUUUUUGGUUUUUUGAGACAGGGUGUCGCUAUGUUGUCCAGCCUGGCUUCCAACUUGCAGUGAUCCUCUUGCCUCAGCCACCCAAUGCUGGGAUUUUAGGCAUGUGCCACCAUGAUUGGCUUCCUGCUUGUUUUUAACCCAUAAUUCUACUAUUUAGUGAGUAGGACAUUGAGAAUAUGAAAGGGGGUUAUUGAAACUUUAAGUUCUUCCAUUUACUGGCUCAAUAGGGAGCAACAAAUACAGAUUUUCUUCUGUACACAGUUCAGAAAGUAUGUGAUUAUGGGUCCCUACAAAUCUAAAAUGUAAAAGCCUAACCUCUGGUGUUUUUGUCCUAUGGGGUUAUGUGUGUGCAUUCAUAAAGAGGACUUGUCACUGCGGUGAUAAGAGGAAGGUAUCCACCUUUGUUUCUGUUUUACUUUGUUUGAUGCUGUACCAAGGAUUAAGCCCAGUGCCUCCACACUAAUCUUUAUCCCCAGACCUUUUUUAUUUUGAGUCAGUGUUUCCACAAGUUACUAAAUUUUCCAGGUUGGCCCAAACUUAAUGAUCCUCCUGCUUCAGCCUCCCAGAGUACUGGGAUUUCAUUGACAUUUUGACCACACGUUUCCUAUUGUGGCAUGAUGUAAACUGAUGAUAAUUUAGUCAUUACAAUUUCCAGUAAGAAGCAUUCCACCAAAGUUUCACUUCUUAAUCUAUAAAUGAGGAUAAUAACAUACUCAAUGUCAUGAAGGUAGUUGGGGAAUCAAAUGAAGUAAUCGAUGUAAUACACUAGUUACUUAGUGUAAAAUAAGUACUCAGUGAAUGUUUUGUACUAAUAUUUUAAUUAUAUGUCAGAAAGAGACCAAAAGGCUUAUUUCAGUCAUGGAAUUAUGUUCCCAAAUUAUGAAGCUAAAAUAGAAAAUACAAUCACCUAGAUUUAUUUUUAAAUCAACUAAGGUCAAAAGUUGUCUCUUGAAACCUUAAUCUUCCAUCUGAGAUUUUGCUACUGUAUAUAUAGUUGUGUGAUCACAAAGGUUAAUGUAUUUAAAAAUUGUUAAACUAUUCUGUUGAGUCAGGGUUAUAUGAAGUGGGAUACUGAUUCCAAAUUCUCCUGCUAAAACAUCACCACCAAGAAGGGUCAGAUAAGGAAGCCUGCCAAAGCAGCACUUGAUUAGCUCCUGAGACAUUAACCCUGGUCCUGACAGCAAAGGUCAGACCCAUGUUACUGGGAGGACUUCCUCCUCAAACAGCGUGCUACCUUCUCCUAGGCAGGAAACAGCCUCGUGUUAACAGUUCCAGCUAUUGAGCUAUUGUGAACCCUCUCUUACCAAGAAAAGCAAGGACCACAAACUUACAAUCCUCCGAAGAGCCAGGACUCCCAUAGAGAACAUUUGCCUUUUUCUUACUAGAUGAACUCUCCACCCAGCUUAUCAUGACUCACAGUGAUGAGCAGUGAAUUGGGGCAGAGAAUCUUCAGCUUCCUUUAAAGCAAAGAUUCUCCACUUUGGCAGGAGUAAGGGGACAUAGAUAGAAGUGUUGGUUGAAAAUGAACACUCUCCCCAGAAUAAACAGAGUGGGCACUGACACACGCAUUAAAAAUGACAUAUAACUUGUGAGAGUAAUGAGAUCUCCAAGAACCUCACUGAAGAACCCUUGCUUCAUUGCUGAAAUGAGCCAUCAAUCUGUAGGUCAGCUAUCAAAGUAUCUUUGGACUUAAGGAACAAAAAACCCAUUCAGAGUAGACCAUGAAAGGAGGGGUAUUUCAUGAACAAUUACCCAACAGAUAGAGUGCCGCCUUUCUCCAAGACACAGGAAUGUCUCAGGCAUCUCAGG
ensembl:lncRNA